AUGACUUGGAGAACUUCCCUAACCCACACUGGGAGACCUCCCCUAACCCACACUGGGAGACCUCCCCUAACCCACGCUGGGAGACCUCCCCUAACCCACGCUGGGAGACCUCCCCUAACCCACGCUGGCAGACCUCUAACCCACGAUGGGAGAUCUCUCCUAACCCACGCUGGGAGCUCUCCCCUAACCCACGCUGGGAGACCUCUAACCCACGCUGGGAGACCUCUAACCCACGCUAAGAGACCUCCCCUAACCCACGCUGGGAGACCUCUAACCCACGCUGGGAGACCUCUAACCCACGCUGGGAGACCUCCCCUAACCCACGCUGGGAGACCUCCCCUAACCCACGCUGGGAGACCUCCCCUAACCCACGCUGGGAAACCUCCCCUAACCCACGCUGGGAGACCUCCCCUAACCCACGCUGGGAGACCUCCUCUAACCCACGCUGGGAGAUCUCCCCUAACCCACGCUGGGAGAUCUCCCCUAACCCACGCUGGGAGUCCUCCCCUAACCCACGCUGGGAGUCCUCCCCUAACCCACGCUGGGAGACCUCCUCUAACCCACGCUGGGAGACCUCUAACCCACGCUGGGAGAUCUCCCCUAACCCACGCUGGGAGAUCUCCCCUAACCCACGCUGGGAGUCCUCCCCUAACCCACGCUGGGAGACCUCCCCUAACCCACGCUGGGAGACCUCCCCUAACCCACGCUGGGAGACCUCCCCUAACCCACGCUGGGAGACCUCUAACCCACGCUGGGAGACCUCCCCUAACCCAUGCUGGGAGACCUCCCCUAACCCACGCUGGGAGACCUCUAACCCACGCUGGGAGACCUCCCCUAACCCACGCUGGGAGACCUCCCCUAACCCACGCUGGGAGACCUCCCCUAACCCACGCUGGGAGACCUCCCCUAACCCACGCUGGUAGAUCUCCCCUAACCCACGCUGGUAGAUCUCCCCUAACCCACGCUGGGAGACCUCCCCUAACCCACGCUGGGAGACCUCCCCUAACCCACGCUGGGAGACCUCCCCUAACCCACGCUGGGAGACCUCCCCUAACCCACGCUGGGAGACCUCCCCUAACCCACGCUGGGAGACCUCCCCUAACCCACGCUGGGAGACCUCUAACCCACGCUGGGAGUCCUCCCCUAACCCACACUGGGAGACCUCCCCUAACCCACGCUGGGAGUCCUCCUCUAACCCACGCUGGGAGACCUCCCCUAACCCACGCUGGGAGACCUCUAACCCACGCUGGGAGACCUCCUCUAACCCACGCUGGGAGUCCUCCUCUAACCCACGCUGGGAGACCUCCCCUAACCCACGCUGGGAGAUCUCUAACCCACGCUGGGAGAUCUCCCCUAACCCACGCUGGGAGAUCUCCCCUAACCCACGCUGGGAGAUCUCUAACCCACGCUGGGAGAUCUCCCCUAACCCACGCUGGGAGACCUCCCUUAACCCAUGCUGGGAGAUCUCCUCUAACCCUAACCCACAUUGGUAGGGAGAUGUGUGCUGCAGGCCACAGACGUACCUGCUAG
rnacentral:lncRNA from 1 species